rnacentral:rRNA from 1 species
UAGGGAAUCUUCGGCAAUGGGGGGAACCCUGACCGAGCAACGCCGCGUGAGUGAAGAAGGUUUUCGGAUCGUAAAGCUCUGUUGUUAAGGAAGAACGAGUGUGAGAAUGGAAAGUUCAUGCUGUGACGGUACUUAACCAGAAAGGGACGGCUAACUACGUGCCAGCAGCCGCGGUAAUACGUAGGUCCCGAGCGUUGUCCGGAUUUAUUGGGCGUAAAGCGAGCGCAGGCGGUUAGAAAAGUCUGAAGUGAAAGGCAGUGGCUCAACCAUUGUAUGCUUUGGGAACUGUUUAACUUGAGUGCAGAAGGGGAGAGUGGAAUUCCAUGUGUAGCGGUGAAAUGCGUAGAUAUAUGGAGGAACACCGGUGGCGAAAGCGGCUCUCUGGGCUGUAACUGACGCUGAGGCUCGAAAGCGUGGGGAGCAAACAGG